GGGGCCGACCUGGUUUCGACGUGGGUUACAAAGCAGUAGAGGGCAUACCGAGGACCCGUCACCUCGUAAAUCAAUGGGAACGCAAUAACUGCUAACGACGAACGUUACGCACUGGCAGCCUAAGGGCCGCCGUCCUCGCACUGGCUCGCUGACGGGCUAGGGUUCGCAAGAACCAGCGAGGUCAUUUACGUCAGAUAAGCCCCGAAGGUGUCACGACAUCGGGGACGAAAACCAAAGUGACUCGCCGUCGUAGAGCGUGUUCGUCCGCGAUGCGCCGGUUAAAUUAAAUGACUGAACUAAGUAUGUAGAACUCUCUGUGGAGGGCUUGCGGACGCGGGUUCGAUUCCCGCCGGCUCCACCA
rnacentral:tmRNA from 1 species